AGGUGUGAGGGGGAGAGCUGGAGACAAAGGAGCUGCAGAUCUGAGAAUCCGGUGAGUUUGGAGACAUGAAGCUGUCAUGCACCCAACUAUUGAUAGAAUUGGUGAGUAGUGAACACAAUGUUUUGUUUGUUUUAGCAUGUUGGUGGUAGCCAAUGCUAAUUGUGAUCAUUAUCUGUUGUAUGAUCUAACUUAAGUUCUACAUGUUUAAGAUAAUGAGAUGAAUGGUUCUUUAUUUGAUCUGAAAGAUUAGAUUUAUUGCAUUUAUUUCUGUAUGCAACUGAAAAAAGUCUAGUUAACUAGCAGGUUGGAAAUUUACUGGUCCUGUUUAUUUUAAUACAGGCCAGGGGAUCCCUUUGUAGGAUUAAAGGAUGGCGAGCUUCUGAAAACUGGCUGGAGCCAGGAGAGCCCUAAGAAUCACUUCAUCCUGGUCUGGUCUGUAUCAAUUCCCCCUCCAUCUCACCACUCAGGCACACACUCCAUUAUUCAUCUUUUCAUCUGAAAGGACUUGCGCUGGGACAUUUUCAACUUAAAUAUCUGGAUAAUUCAACCGUGGACUUCUGAAUGUGUGUCGGUCAGGUUUUGGACUGACCAGCGGGGAAAUCAAGACCCUUUGUGCACAAACCAAUGAAGGACUGCCGCAGUACUGUGUAUAUAUAUUUUUUGUUUUUGGUCCUGUGUAUGUUUGUCUUGUAUUGUUCACUUUAAUUUUGUCUAAUACAUGGUAUUGAAA